rnacentral:lncRNA from 1 species
ACUGUCAUUCUAGGAAGGCCAUUCCUCAACAUGGUUAACGCCGUCAUCUAUGUGGGAUCUGACGAAAUCCAUUUCAAUUCAUAGGAAAUAAGGUAAAGUGUUCAUUCAAUGGUUAUAAAACUAACAAGCAGGUAAAGGACAAAGAACCAAUGAACAAACCUCGCUAUUACCUGCGCUAAGGAAUAAGAAAGGUGAGUCAGCGAAUAAGGCCAAAG